GAAGGGGAGGGUGAGAAUUAAUGCCUGUAUACCAUGAUCCUUAACCAGAAGUCAUUUUGUGCUCUUUCAACUGCUUUCUGCAAAUUCGUAUUCCACAGCGUAGGAGAGAUGGUGGUGGACACAGUGGGUAGGAGAGUCUGUCCAUAUCCCAAAGGUGUGCCAAAAGGAUUUAUCAAGAAGGGGAUGAUGGAGGUUGCUCUUCCAAAAGUGUCCAGAGUCACUGAGACCUGACCUGUGUAUUUUGUAUUCCAUCCCUGUCAGGACUGGAAAAGCCCACAUCUGUGGCUUGGAAGAUAAGGAAGGUGUUAUUCCCAGUUGGCCACAUCUCUAGAAAACAGAAAAUUCUGCAUUUCCCCCAGUAACAAAAUUGUUCAUUGCUUAUCCGUAGUGUAUU